UACGUAGGGUGCGAGCGUUAAUCGGAAUUACUGGGCGUAAAGGGCGCGUAGGCGGCGCUGUAAGUCACUUGUGAAAUCUCCGGGCUUAACUCGGAACGGUCAAGUGAUACUGCAGUGCUAGAGUGCAGAAAGGGCAAUCGGAAUUCUUGGUGUAGCGGUGAAAUGCGUAGAUAUCAAGAGGAACACCUGAGGCGAAGGCGGGUUGCUAGGCUGACACUGACGCUGACAGCGCGAAAGCCAGGGGAGCAAACGGG
rnacentral:rRNA from 1 species